ACAGCUGCUUGUGACAGGACUGGAAACUGAGGAGGAGCUACGUCUUAAAGGCGGAGCUAAGUCCUGCCAGGUGUUUGGCACAGGUGAAUGGUUGCCAUGGGAGAUUAAAGUAUUUAUUGAAAAUUUAUGAAAGAAACACUCCAGAUACGCUAUAAUGUAAAACAAAAAAAAAUAAG